GUAGGAGCCGGCUUGCUGGCGAUGGCGGUGAAACAGCCGCCAUCCAUGUUGAAUGUGAAACGGUGAUCGCCAGCAAGCCGGCUCCUAC
rnacentral:misc_RNA from 1 species